AAUAAAAGAGGAAAAGAAACAAGGCAAAACAAAAUGCCAAAAACGAAACAAGGCAAAACCAUAAAAAGCGAAGAGCGACAACGGAACAAAACCAAACGAAACUCAAAGUCUCAAGCGUCACAACCCUAACUCCCGCUUUGUCUCUCUCACAUCAUUUUGAUCGGCGACCACCAAGCAUCGUACCACUGCCGUAGUAAGCAUCAGCCACCAUCUACGACGAUAACCAAGCACCAGCGCACCUUUUUGUUGUAGUCUGUAGAUCUGUGACCACCAGACCACCAGUCCUCACUCUCCUUCAUGCCGCGCCGCCUCACUGACCGGAGUGACCACCGAUUGAAGCAUAGCAACUGAGCAAGCUGCUGAUGUUUGGGGAGAUCGAUAGAUACUGCGGAGUACAAGAUUAACUUAGAUAAAUGUUUUUUUUCAAGAUUGAAAAGUCGGAGCUCUCUGCAUUACUGCUGUUGCUGCUGUCAGUGUUACUGUUGUCACUAUUUCUGCUGAAUGCUGCUAUCGUUUGCUGCUAUCGCUAUUUGUUGACCUGCUAGCUGGCUAGCUGUUGUUGCUGUCUACUAUUAAUAAUGUUGUGUGUUGUAACUACGUUGACUGCUAUUUUGCUCUUUCUGUUUUUGAAUUUGGUGGUCUAGAAACAAAGUCGGCUUUUCGUUUAGUUUGGAUUAUUUGAUUGUAUAUGGAUUUUUUUACAAGAAAAUAUGAAAUUAUAUCCAUUCAAA